GACGAACGCUGGCGGCGUGCUUAACACAUGCAAGUCGAACGGAAAGGCCCUGCUUUUGUGGGGUGCUCGAGUGGCGAACGGGUGAGUAACACGUGAGUAACCUGCCCUUGACUUUGGGAUAACUUCAGGAAACUGGGGCUAAUACCGGAUAGGAGCUCCUGCUGCAUGGUGGGGGUUGGAAAGUUUCGGCGGUUGGGGAUGGACUCGCGGCUUAUCAGCUUGUUGGGGGGGUAGUGGCUUACCAAGGCUUUGACGGGUAGCCGGCCUGAGAGGGUGACCGGCCACAUUGGGACUGAGAUACGGCGCAGAAUGCUACGGGAGGCAGCAGUGGGGAAUAUUGCACAAUGGGCGGAAGCCUGAUGCAGAAACGCCGCGUGCGGGAUGACGGCCUUCGGGUUGUAAACCGCUUUCGCCUGUGACGAAGCGUGAGUGACGGUAAUGGGUAAAGAAGCACCGGCUAACUACGUG
rnacentral:rRNA from 1 species